rnacentral:lncRNA from 1 species
CUUACAUCUGUUGGCUAAACCCAGACAAUAAUUUUGGAUUGGUGGUCUUCUGAAUUUGCAACUCAUUCCCUUCAUGUCUGCAAAGGAUCUUUUUCCACUUACAUAUCAUUUGGCUUUAUUCAUGUCCUCUUGCCUCUCUGGAGAGAAGAGUUAAAAUGAAGAAGGAAACCAAAUAUUAAUUUUCCCUUAAAAGAAUGGGUUUGUUACUUUUGAAAUCCUUGUUGCUAUGAAAUUGGCCAGAGAGAGAAUGACUGUUCCCUUUCUUGAAAAUAGAACAGACAAAAAUUCUGAUCUCUCUCUCCCUCUUUCUCUCUCUCUCUCUCCAUGCAAUCCUUUAUUAGGGGGGGAAGGAGGAGAAGGGAAACGAUGUUAUCGGAGGAGCUCUAUCUUCUUGGCUCUAGGUACAACAGGAAGCGGAUGUGAAGUCCUGUGCGGUGUCCUCUCCUUCCCCUGUCUCUAUGGUUCUCGGUGUUGGCGCCGGGAGGCGGGAGGGAGGCGCGAGGGUGCAUUUCUCUGCCUUCGGGACCUCUUGGGAGGAGGUGGGCGAUCCGGAGGGUGUGUGUGCGCGUGUGUGUUUGUGUAUGUGUGUGUGUGGAGGGGUUUGGAAGAGCUAAAAAGAGAUGGCAGGCGGGGGGGGGAGAUUUCCAAAAAAAGAGAAAUUAAAUCUCCACUCCUGGGGGGGAGAGAAGAGGGAAAUCUCCUCCCUUCCCCCUGGGUCUGCUUUGCAGGAAACAAUGACCUUGGAAGGCUGGCCUUUUUCUUUCUGGGUCUUCUCCUUGGGGACCUAGGAAGGAGAGAGAGAUGGGAUGUGUGCGUUGGGGGAUCCAGAUCCUCCCCCCCCCACAUGCCCCUUCCCAUCAAGGUCCCCUAUGUGCGUGUGGAGGGGUUGGGAAUCGCAUGGUCCUCCGCUUUCCUGCGAGGAGACCUCCCUCCUUCCCCCAAAUCCUGCCUGUGUGGGGUGGGUGGCAAAGGGGGCUGGAGAGGAAGGGCUAGCCUCUGGGGGGGGCC